GCCAGGGCGUACAGUCGCCGCCGUGGCGUGGCGCAGUGAAAAGUGGCGGGCGUCCUUUUGGUCGGAAGAGGGCGGGCGGAAUAACCGAGCGACAGAGGUGGUGAGGAGAGGGGAGCGGCAGCUGGCCGGCUGGCUGGCUCUACCGCGGCCGGCGCGCAGAGGCGGAGGAGCGGAGUACGGCGGAGAAGAGCCGCGAAAGGCCCUGCCACGGCGCCACGGCCGCUCCAGAGGCUCCAGACUCGUGCGAGAGGAGCUGCGACCCCAGCCCGCGGCCGCUCCUGCUCUAGCUCGCGUAGGCGGCGCUCAAGCUCCUGCGGUUCGCGUUGAUGGAGUCGUAGGGGCGGCGGUAGUUCCUGUACGGGUUCUACCUGGGCGUUCCGUAAAUACACUUGUUCUUGCAGUUUGACCUGCUGGACGUUCAGAUACCGAAGCUGAUACUAAUGUGCGACAGCGUGAUGAGGCUGGUGGAAGUCACGAACUAGAUACUAGAGCGGUUCUUCGUGAACCAGUUACUCGACUUCAUAGGUCUCUCAACGAACGUCAUACUGAUGCUGUCGUCGAAAGGACAGUCCCCGGAAAUGAUACUGUUUGAUUUUCCCACGGAAGACUUCGAACUAAAGAAACCAAGAUAACUCGGGCUACCUACGAAGAAACCUGCUGCCUUCGAUUCAAGCUGACUCUAUUUUCUUGAGAUGCCGUGUUCUGUAUAGCCUUCUCUAGUUCGAGCAGUCGAACAACCCGACUACCUACAGAAGACAAAAUCGCUCCGUACGGAGUAACGUCUAUAACAAGUCGUGAAGCAUCUACGGUUCGACCUCAAACUACGAGGAAUACAUAUACUCCUACAUUUGGUUCGCUAAGUCGUACAGGUGUCUUCACCAAAUCAAGUGUCUUUUCAAGAAAGUCUCGGAGUCUUUAAAGACAAUUUUUUAUCGGUCCACAAAGCAAAGAAUUUCUGGGAUGCUCUCUUCCCCUUUUUCGACAAAGAAGAAUGGUUGAGUGGAAAGAUGAAACAACUACCUCCCUACUCAAUAAAUGAUCUCCUGGUCGUAAAACUACCCUUAAGGACCUCCCUCGAAAAACUGCAACACUAACGCGUCCGUUUAUUUGGUUCAAAGAUAUUAAGUCUGGUGGGUAAGUCCCACAUACUGUGACUUUUCCUGUGGAAUCGUAAAUGACGUCAACUGUUCAAAGACGGUUUACUUCAGAUAAUGGUACCUACAAAUUUUAGGAAAGACGUCUAAUGUUUCACCUCUCCGGGUCUCCACUAUAUGAAACCACUAGUAGAAAAGUCGCUGAACUCUCCCGGAAGGUUUCGACCAACCGCUUGUCGACGGCAUUAAGCACUUGAACUCCUACUUUAUCCUUAGGUCUUACCACUGUCGAUGGCCAAGGUUGUCCGUUUUAAUCCAUAUUAUGUACUAGAUGAACCCUUCCAAGUACGUUGACACCAAUCGUGGCUCUUUCCGGUUCAAAUGUCUUGUAACGAACUACUCAACUUACGUCUUUCCGCAGUUACAGCUAGACCGUACGCUCUAGACAAAUUAUCAAGAAAACCACGUUGUAAGGAGUGUCUGUGUCCUUUCCUUAGUAGUAAACGGAUAGUGUAAGUAGUUAUACGUCUAUAGAUGUGGUCGUUCGAACUCUUGAAGAACAGUAUACGGGGACUUAGUACCGAAGUAGGUGGAGUGCUGUAUUUCUAGUACGGUGUAUUACGUUUCCACGGUCGCUCAAACAAGUCGUGGAGUAUCAAGUGACAUAGGUAAAGAACACCUCUCGGUACCAUCACGUGAUGUCUCACCAAAAACAAACACCGGUACCCUGAGGUAUGACAGUGACGUAAGCCGAUCCAAUACUUCUUUGGUUGUGUCUAACCUAGGUUGACUUAUCCGGUCCCUCGUUUAGUUCUACACGGAUAAGAACUGACUGCAUUCUUAGUCAGAGGUUACUAGAAACGGUUGUCGUUCAUUGACUGUGAUAGAGUUACAACUCGUUAGAUGAGAACGUUAGUUACGACACGAAUGGUCUAAUAAAACUUGACCAAUAACGGUCAAAGUACUCGGAUGGGAUAUUUGUCGGGGGACGGUUUGGUUUGUAAAAAAAAGACGUCACUCGUGACUCCUAACUUGCUUGUUCUAAGUCCUGAAUAAUACAAACCUCAAGUGUCUUCUUUUAAACCUAAGGUACGUUCCCAAGAUGAACAGGAACAGAUGCUGUCCGACUAGUAGAACCAAAGGUAGCAAAGACUAGGGUCUAUUGACGACGUAAAGGUCAAGAACGACGAAGGUACUGGAUGUUCUGGACUUCCGUGUUUCACAUAGUUAAUCUAGGAAAAAAAGUAGGUAAGGCUUGACGAUGUCGACCUCAGAAUUCUGAGAAUAGGCAAGGUUUUUACGCGUAACGUUUGAGGACUUAUGUCACGUUUAGUUGUAACGAAUGGCGACGGAUUUUGGGCUAGACAAAGGUGGGUACCUCUCGUGGCGACGUCCACGUCUCGAUAUAGGUCGUAGUAGGCUCCCACUGCUUGAGUAGAAAAAAGUGCAACGUCUUCUUGUUGCUGUCUUUAGAAGAGUCUCUGAAAAAUCUGCUACUUCGAGUCUCACUACUAACUCGUCUACGAUGAACGCGCCACUUACAAAGCUUCUCCUAAUCUCUUUACAUGAGUGUUCAACUACCCUGUACCAAGCAAGACUACACGCUUGAAGUAACGGCCCCGCCGGAGAACAAGCAAGUUAGGAGUCCCGUGUGUACGUAAAGUGUUCCUUUAUGUCCUCUUGGGGCGGUUCCGUGUCGUAACGGUCCUAGAGCUAACGCUAACGGCUAGGCCAGUGACUUUCAUAAGUAGUGUCAUAUUUUUAUGUUCCUAUCCUUACCACACGGUGUGUUCGGUGUCGUGGUUUGGUUCGUGUUUCUUUGAGUGUCUACCGAGAACAACUCAAGUAACGAAAGGAAAACGAGUCGACCUGUCAGAAGAGACGAACGUUACCGGAACUGUAGUAGAGACUUGUUAGACCCAUCGUGGGUAUCAAGGGGUCCAGCAAAUGCCACUACCUAUUCGAACACCGUACCGAACCUGGUGGGACGUUCUCUUUUAGAGUAUAAAAAGAUCAAAGUUAUGGAGGUAAAUAUCGAGAGCCUGUUAGUCAGUGAAUCAAUUGGUUCUCUUAAUUUAGUACCCUACUUCUUGCUUAGCGGUUUUCUCAGGCACUUCUGCCCCACAAAUGAACCAUUUUCUCCUUUGUGGACCAUUUUCUCGGCCGCGUAACGCGACAACGUCAGUCGCUGUAGGUUCGCCUCGGACUACGGUCAAGGAGAGUUCUGGUUCACUACACGUUACCGGUGUAUCCAGACUUCGCUGACGGUGACCAAUGACGGUGGUCAGAACUCGAGACGGGACGGCUGCUCUGACCGACCGUUACAGUAGUAGUUCCAAGGAAGUUUCUGAAGGUUCCUCUCGUGAUCGUCUUCCGAUCCUUUGUAGUAGAAUGUAGAGUUUUAUUAAUUCGUCCUAUUUUUGGUAAAAGUUUAGGUACCAAAGUAUGGUUUUCUCAUUCUGUUUCGUGGACCCAUGGUUGCUUCUAGACCAAGCUGCUAACUCUUGAGUUUACCCAGAGAGACGAACAGUUUCUAAACUAUAGGUAGAGAACUAAGAAAAGGUGGGUUCUUUUAACUAAAGCCUCGGUCAUAUUGGCCUCCUAGUAACUGGCCGAGGUGCCUCUGCACAUUGAGUAGUGCUACGGAUGGUAAGGACAAGGAGCGUAUAUCGUAAUAUUGUAGUAGAGGCAUCUUCAGAACCAAAGACGUUUACUACAGUCCUAAACUCUAAGAACAUUGCGGCCGGACGAUGUUAUGAUCGUUCUAAGUCUAAGAACCGAUCAUGGGCUAUAUGACUUCUAUAAAAUCGCGAGGUAAAUAAAGGAGGUGGUGGGGAACAUAAAAGUUCCGAACCGAUCUGGACGGAUGGGACGACUAACUUUCGCAUAGUAGAUUAUCUACAACUUCA
rnacentral:rRNA from 1 species